UACGGAGGAUUCAAGCGUUAUCCGGAUUUAUUGGGUUUAAAGGGUGCGUAGGCGGUCGGAUAAGUUAGAGGUGAAAUCCCGAGGCUCAACCUUGGCACUGCCUCUGAUACUGGUUUGCUAGCGAGUAGAUGCUGUAGGCGGAAUGCGUGGUGUAGCGGUGAAAUGCAUAGAUAUCACGAAGAACUCCGAUUGCGAAGGCAGCUUACCAGUCUGCGACUGACGCUCAGGCACGAAAGUGUGGGUAUCGAACAGG
rnacentral:rRNA from 1 species